AUACUUACCUGGCAGGGGAGAUACUAUGAUCACGAAGGUGGUUUUCCCAGGGCGAGGCUUAUCCAUUGCACUCUGGGAUGUGCUGACCCCUGCGAUUUCCCCAAAUGAAAAAAAAUUCAAAGAAAAU
rnacentral:snRNA from 1 species